UACGGAGGGUGCAAGCGUUAAUCGGAAUUACUGGGCGUAAAGCGCACGCAGGCGGUUUGUUAAGUCAGAUGUGGAAUCCCCGGGCUCAACCUGGGAACUGCCUUUGAAACUGGCAAGCUAGAGUCUCGUAGAGGGGGGUAGAAUUCCAGGUGUAGCGGUGAAAUGCGUAGAGAUAUGGAGGAAUACCGGUGGCGAAGGCGGCCCGCUGGACGAGGACUGACGCUCAGGUGCGAAAGCGUGGGGAGCAAACAGG
rnacentral:rRNA from 1 species